CACAGCACGGAGUUUUACCCUUAGAUUUUUGGCUGUUCGCGAUGUGUGAUGGCGUUUCCUUGGACGAGAUGAUGAUUUUGGCGAGAAAAAUAUUGCUUUCUAACCUUCAGGUUCCUAAAUAUGAAAAGUAGUCAACGAGGUCCCUUACUCCCUUGUUUGAUAACCCAAUGGCUGCUACCCUUGAAUCUCCCUAUUUAGCUCCUUACACAGUCCCUCUUGAUUUGAGGGUAAUCCUUCGCUACUGAUCAUGGACUCCAUUGGUGGAACUGAAAACCGAAGAGAGAAUGCUGUAAUCCAAGACUGAUAAAUUGU